AGCCUUGGGGGCAAAAGAGACAGAAAAGCAAACAGGAACACUGAAACAUUUUGUUUUUCUCCCCGUCAAAACUAAGAUAAACAGUUAUGUGACAAGUGGCAGAGGAAGAACAAAAUGAAUGUAAUAUAUUCUAAGUAAGAACUAUAAAGGCAAGAAAGAUUUUAGUUUCAAAUGGUAAUUUCAUUUUGAGCUGUAAUGAGCAAAAUGUGAGGAGCAAAAUGGACUUUUUCUAUAGCAGAGCACACGUGAAAGUGAGAUUUCUGUUUCUGCCUGUUCUCUCAGUGACCAGUACUAGUGUGGAACGGAAGAUGAGAUGAGCUUAUAUCCCCUUGUGUGUGCUGUGCGUUUUAAUGAUAGUUUGGCGUGCAGGGGCAGAGGCCUACAGCUUUAAAAAGUGGAUGUGCUUUAUCAUUUUAACUCAAGAUGACGACUCAUUUUUCCCCUUUGGUGAAGAGAAAUGAAGCUCACAGGUUGAAAUGAGUGGCCCCAAGGAUUACCAGAAAAGAAGUUAAUGUUUGGAAAGAGAAAAUAAAAGUUCUCUGUGUUUUACUUCCCCUCCCACAGAUAAUAAAAAUUGACAUUUUGUUGUAUUUUUCUCUAAGCAUUUUUUUUCCUUGGCUAUAAAUGCAAAAGUCAUCACAAUAUUUGGUAAACAUUUUCCUCUCAUUCAGUAGUUUCUGAAAACAUGAUUUUAAGUAGUUGUGUAACAUUCUCUCGUGCAGUUGUCCCAUAGUUCA
rnacentral:lncRNA from 1 species